rnacentral:rRNA from 1 species
UACGUAGGGUGCAAGCGUUGUCCGGAAUUAUUGGGCGUAAAGAGCUCGUAGGCGGUUCGUCGCGUCGGCUGUGAAAACCUGAGGCUCAACCUCAGGCCUGCAGUCGAUACGGGCGGACUUGAGUACUGCAGGGGAGACUGGAAUUCCUGGUGUAGCGGUGAAAUGCGCAGAUAUCAGGAGGAACACCGGUGGCGAAGGCGGUUCUCUGGGCAUGUCCUGACGCUGAGGAGCGAAAGUGUGGGGAGCGAACAGG